rnacentral:rRNA from 1 species
GACGAACGCUGGCGGCGUGCCUAAUACAUGCAAGUAGAACGCUGAAGGAGGAGCUUGCUUCUCCGGACGAGUUGCGAACGGGUGAGUAACGCGUAGGUAACCUGCCUGGUAGCGGGGGAUAACUAUUGGAAACGAUAGCUAAUACCGCAUAAUAGUAGAUGUUGCAUGACAUUUACUUAAAAGGUGCAAUUGCAUCACUACCAGAUGGACCUGCGUUGUAUUAGCUAGUUGGUGGGGUAACGGCUCACCAAGGCGACGAUACAUAGCCGACCUGAGAGGGUGAUCGGCCACACUGGGACUGAGACACGGCCCAGACUCCUACGGGAGGCAGCAGUAGGGAAUCUUCGGCAAUGGACGGAAGUCUGACCGAGCAACGCCGCGUGAGUGAAGAAGGUUUUCGGAUCGUAAAGCUCUGUUGUAAGAGAAGAACGAGUGUGGGAGUGGAAAGUUCACACUGUGACGGUAUCUUACCAGAAAGGGACGGCUAACUACGUGCCAGCAGCCGCGGUAAUACGUAGGUCCCGAGCGUUGUCCGGAUUUAUUGGGCGUAAAGCGAGCGCAGGCGGUUAGAUAAGUCUGAAGUUAAAGGCUGUGGCUUAACCAUAGUACGCUUUGGAAACUGUUUAACUUGAGUGCAAGAGGGGAGAGUGGAAUUCCAUGUGUAGCGGUGAAAUGCGUAGAUAUAUGGAGGAACACCGGUGGCGAAAGCGGCUCUCUGGCUUGUAACUGACGCUGAGGCUCGAAAGCGUGGGGAGCAAACAGG